rnacentral:rRNA from 1 species
GACGAACGCUGGCGGCGUGCUUAACACAUGCAAGUCGAACGGUAAGGCCCUUCGGGGUACACGAGUGGCGAACGGGUGAGUAACACGUGGGUAAUCUGCCCUGCACAUCGGGAUAAGCCUGGGAAACUGGGUCUAAUACCGAAUAGGACCACAGGACACAUGUCCUGUGGUGGAAAGCUUUUGCGGUGUUGGAUGGGCCCGCGGCCUAUCAGCUUGUUGGUGGGGUGAUGGCCUACCAAGGCGACGACGGGUAGCCGGCCUGAGAGGGUGUCCGGCCACACUGGGACUGAGAUACGGCCCAGACUCCUACGGGAGGCAGCAGUGGGGAAUAUUGCACAAUGGGCGAAAGCCUGAUGCAGCGACGCCGCGUGGGGGAUGACGGCCUUCGGGUUGUAAACCUCUUUCACCAUCGACGAAGGUCCGGGUUUUCUCGGGCUGACGGUAGGUGGAGAAGAAGCACCGGCCAACUACGUG